UACGUAGGGUGCGAGCGUUAAUCGGAAUUACUGGGCGUAAAGCGUGCGCAGGCGGUUCGUUGUGUCUGAUGUGAAAGCCCCGGGCUCAACCUGGGGAUGGCAUUGGAAACUGGCGAGCUAGAGUGUGGCAGAGGGGGGUGGAAUUCCGCGUGUAGCAGUGAAAUGCGUAGAUAUCAGGAGGAAUACCGAUGGCGAAGGCAGGUCUCUGGGCUGACACUGACGCUCAUGCACGAAAGCGUGGGGAGCAAACAGG
rnacentral:rRNA from 1 species